GAUGAACGCUGGCGGCGUGCCUAAUACAUGCAAGUCGAGCGAACAGACGAGGAGCUUGCUCCUCUGACGUUAGCGGCGGACGGGUGAGUAACACGUGGAUAACCUACCUAUAAGACUGGGAUAACUUCGGGAAACCGGAGCUAAUACCGGAUAAUAUAUUGAACCGCAUGGUUCAAUAGUGAAAGACGGUUUUGCUGUCACUUAUAGAUGGAUCCGCGCCGCAUUAGCUAGUUGGUAAGGUAACGGCUUACCAAGGCAACGAUGCGUAGCCGACCUGAGAGGGUGAUCGGGCACACUUGAACAGGGACACGGGCCAGCCUCCUAAGGGAGGCAGCAGUAGGGGAAUCUCCCGAAUGGGAGGAAGCCUGACGGAGCAACGCCGCGUGAGUGAUGAAGGUCUUCGGAUCGUAAAACUCUGUUAUUAGGGAAGAACAAAUGUGUAAGUAACUAUGCACGUCUUGACGGUACCUAAUCAGAAAGCCACGGCUAACUACGUG
rnacentral:rRNA from 1 species